rnacentral:rRNA from 1 species
CAGUCGCCGCGGGAAUACAGAGGGUGCGAGCGUUAAUCGGAUUUACUGGGCGUAAAGCGUGCGUAGGCGGCUUUUUAAGUCGGAUGUGAAAUCCCUGAGCUUAACUUAGGAAUUGCAUUCGAUACUGGGAAGCUAGAGUAUGGGAGAGGAUGGUAGAAUUCCAGGUGUAGCGGUGAAAUGCGUAGAGAUCUGGAGGAAUACCGAUGGCGAAGGCAGCCAUCUGGCCUAAUACUGACGCUGAGGUACGAAAGCAUGGGGAGCAAACAGGAUUAGAUACCCGUGUAGUCCAUGUCUCUUAUAA